AGGAAGGUGGGGAUGACGUCAAGUCAUCAUGGCCCUUACGGCCUGGGCUACACACGUGCUACAAUGGUCGGUACAAAGGGUUGCCAAGCCGCGAGGUGGAGCUAAUCCCAAUAAAACCGAUCGUAGUCCGGAUCGCAGUCUGCAACUCGACUGCGUGAAGUCGGAAUCGCUAGUAAUCGUGAAUCAGAAUGUCACGGUGAAUACGUUCCCGGGCCUU
rnacentral:rRNA from 1 species